rnacentral:rRNA from 1 species
GGGGAAACGACAUCGAAAGCUUGCUUUUGAUGGGCGUCGACCGGCGCACGGGUGAGUAACGCGUAUCCAACCUGCCCACCACUUGGGGAUAACCUUGCGAAAGUAAGACUAAUACCCAAUGACGUCUCUAGAAGACAUCUGAAAGAGAUUAAAGAUUUAUCGGUGAUGGAUGGGGAUGCGUCUGAUUAGCUUGUUGGCGGGGUAACGGCCCACCAAGGCAACGAUCAGUAGGGGUUCUGAGAGGAAGGUCCCCCACAUUGGAACUGAGACACGGUCCAAACUCCUACGGGAGGCAGCAGUGAGGAAUAUUGGUCAAUGGACGAGAGUCUGAACCAGCCAAGUAGCGUGCAGGAUGACGGCCCUAUGGGUUGUAAACUGCUUUUAUAAGGGAAUAAAGUGAGUCUCGUGAGACUCUUUGCAUGUACCUUAUGAAUAAGGACCGGCUAAUUCCGUGCCAGCAGCCGCGGUAAUACGGAAGGUCCGGGCGUUAUCCGGAUUUAUUGGGUUUAAAGGGAGCGUAGGCCGGAGAUUAAGCGUGUUGUGAAAUGUAGAUGCUCAACAUCUGCACUGCAGCGCGAACUGGUUUCCUUGAGUACGCACAAAGUGGGCGGAAUUCGUGGUGUAGCGGUGAAAUGCUUAGAUAUCACGAAGAACUCCGAUUGCGAAGGCAGCUCACUGGAGCGCAACUGACGCUGAAGCUCGAAAGUGCGGGUAUCGAACAGGAUUAGAUACCCUGGUAGUCCGCACGGUAAACGAUGGAUGCCCGCUGUUGGUCUGAAUAGGUCAGCGGCC